UACAGAGGGGGCAAGCGUUGUUCGGAAUUACUGGGCGUAAAGGGCGCGUAGGCGGCCUUCUAAGUCGAACGUGAAAUCCCUGGGCUCAACCCAGGAACUGCGUCCGAUACUGGGAGGCUUGAAUCCGGGAGAGGGAUGCGGAAUUCCAGGUGUAGCGGUGAAAUGCGUAGAUAUCUGGAGGAACACCGGUGGCGAAGGCGGGUCUCUGGGCGGUAACUGACGCUGAGGAGCGAAAGCGUGGGGAGCGAACAGG
rnacentral:rRNA from 1 species